GGAGGAAGGACGGGGAGGACGUGAAUGCGUGCUACUUAAUGCAGUCAAACCUCCUUAGAUUUGAAGAAUUUUGAAUUAUACUUUAGUGUUUUAAUUGCUGUGAGUGCGGAUAGAGAGGACCCAGUCCCUGGAGAGGAGGAAAUACUGCCCCAAGAAUACAAAACUUGAUUAUGAACGAUUGUUUACAAUCUUUAAAAUUAAGGAGAGGCUCCAGUUCAUAUCCAUCCACUCACAUCAACUUCAUCAAAAAACUCGCCACCUGUGUCUUAAAAGAAUGAGAGGCCCCCUAGGAUGAUUACCCCAACUCAUCUUCUUCUUCAGGCGAUGUUCCGCAUUCGAACAUCGCCGAGAUAGAUUUCGAUGGCAGACUCCAAUUCGGACUCAAAAAAAGAGGAAGAGGAGCCACCCAGCAGUGUUGUCGUUAAGCCCCCUCCCCUAAAAUGGGAAGGAGAUCCAAAGGUGAACAUGCCGCCUUCCUCAGAUGGAGUGGGCCCAGAGCCCUUUAUGAUUAUGCGAAGCAAGGCCAUGAAUCGGCGUGUUCUUCUCAAUGUAGGAGGGACGAAGCACGAGGUCCUUUGGAGGACACUCGAGCGUCUCCCUCAUACUCGACUUGGUCGCCUACGUGAAUGUAAUAGCCAUGAGACACUCAUGGAACUCUGUGAUGACUACUCCCUUGUAGACAAUGAAUAUUUCUUUGAUCGACAUCCCCGAUCAUUUUCCUCCAUAUUGAACUUUUAUCGUACGGGAAAGCUUCAUUUGGUGGAGGAAAUGUGUGUUCUUUCUUUUAGUGAUGAUUUGGAGUUCUGGGGGAUUGAUGAGCUCUACUUGGAGUCUUGUUGUCAGCACAAGUAUCAUCAGAGAAAGGAACAUGUGAAUGAAGAAAUGAAGAAGGAGGCAGAUUCUCUCAAGACCUCGGAUGAAGAGGACUUUGGAGAUCAUGGAUGUGCUCAUUAUCAAAAAUAUCUAUGGGAUCUGCUAGAAAAGCCCACGACUUCUGUAGCAGCGAGGGUCGUAGCAUUCAUAAGCAUAACGUUCAUAAUAGUCUCAACCAUUGCUCUAACGCUAAAUACCCUCCCUGAGUUCCAAGGUGUGGACCAAGACGGAAAUCCCACAGAUAAUGAGACGCUGAGUCUAGUGGAAGCGAUAUGUAUAACUUGGUUUACCCUCGAAUACAUCCUUCGAUUUGCAACAUGCCCUAAUAAGUGGCAGUUUUGUAAGGGCUCACUCAAUAUAAUCGAUCUUUUAGCCAUUCUUCCCUAUUUCAUCUCUCUCUUUCUCAUUGAAUCAAAUCGGUCCACAGAGUCCUUUCAAGAGAUUCGGAGAUUAGUGCAAGUGUUUCGUAUCAUGCGAGUCCUUCGGAUUCUGAAAUUGGCUAGACACUCUACGGGACUCCAGAGUCUCGGAUUUACAAUACGCAACUCAUAUAAAGAACUAGGGCUUCUCUUACUCUUUCUCGCCAUGGGCGUGCUCAUUUUUUCGUCUCUUGCCUAUUUCGCUGAGAGAGAAGUACCGAAAACUAAGUUUACAAGCAUACCUGCCUCAUUUUGGUGGGCUGCCAUUACAAUGACGACUGUAGGCUAUGGAGACAUGAGUCCAGAGACACUUUUUGGGAAACUUGUAGGCUCCGUCUGUUGUAUUUGCGGUGUUCUCGUCAUUGCACUUCCCAUUCCCAUCAUUGUGAAUAACUUUGCAGAGUUUUAUAAGAACCAAAUGAGGCGGGAAAAGGUCAUGAAACGAAGAGAAACACUAGAAAAGGCUCGACAAUCCGGAUCUUUUAUAGGGUCUAAACCCAUUAAUCUGAGAGAUUCUUAUACCAUAAACUUGGAAGAAGAGGAUUUAGUGUAUGAAUUAGGUCAUAACAUGUCCGUCAUGGGAAGUCAGUUGGAAAUCGAUAUGGAUCCUGAAGGAGAUGCUGCCGUCAUACCACGGCAUCAAGGCCACACUGGAACCGGCUGUUACCGCCUCUAUGAUCACCGUUUGGAUGAAACCGUUAAUAUACGAAAAAUGAAUCAACAUCCUGGGAGUCACCUUGGGCCCAAGGAUGUGGAGCCGGAUGUAGAUGAGGAGGAAGAGGAGUUGUCAACUCUUCAGAUUGUGACUAAUGCAAAUAACAUCAAUGUUUCACCACCAGCUUCGACAACAAAUACGGUCAAUACAAAUAACCUAGCGGCAAACUCUGCGGAUGUGACGAAUAAUAAUGUUUGUAAUACAUCAAAUGAUCCCAUUAAGCUUCAAAAUUGUGACAAUGAUGGGUUCAAUACAGGGGGUCGUUCCUCCAAUAAGAACAACGGAUACGAAACGGAGAGCAGCACUCAAUAUCGAAGUGCAGAUACCCUAGGAGAAGAUACGAUGGAGCUGAUGCAGUUUGAGAGUGCUGUUGAAGACCUCUCCAAAGUAAAUCCUGCCUCUUCCUCCAAUCCUCCAAUACAAAAGGGAAAAAUCAAUGACUCUGUUGAUCAUUUUGGAAGUUUAGAUAGUUCAGACACCUUUCACAGUUUUAGCACUCACCCAUUCCCUUCACAAGGAUCUCUGGCUCGACUUGAAGAGAUGGCUACUCUUGGAUCCAUGGGACCGCAUGGAUCCAUGCUCACUGUACAUGACGAUCCCGCUAAUAGUUCAUUGUAUGUGAAUCCUUUUGGCUCGUCCUCAAAGAAAAUACCUCCUUCAAAGAGUACAAAUCCUCUGGGUCAAGGAGGGGGUGGACUUAAAUUUCCAGAAUCUUUAAGGGAUUCCAGUCCAGUGAGAAGAGUUCGAAUUGCAGGUAGGAGUGUUAGUACGGAUAUGGAGUUGGAUAAGUGGGAUUAUGGGCUUCAAGAACUUACGCCUAAGCACAAACGAUUGAGAUUGUCACAGGGUUCUUCUUACAAUCCAAAUGGAGAUACGGAUCGCAAUAGUAACAGGAGUGCAGGCCAAUGUGAUGUUGAUUUUGUUUUACCUCCAGAGUCUUCAAAGAAGAAGACGACUAAGAGCAGUAUCGCAGCUGUCAUUAACCAAGGACUUGUUACCCUUGGAGAAAAAUUUGGAUCUCGCGCUGCCUCUGUUCAUAACUCAAAUAGUUCCCUCAUGGGCAGUCCGAAUAGCGUAAAUAAUCACAAUUCAACCAGUGGAUCUUCGGAUCGCAGAAAAUCCAUAUUAAAGAAGUCUGAUCUUAUGUCUUCAUCAUCACGCGGUGCCCAUAGAGAUGAUCCUGAAAUGGAAAAUCUCCUACUUGCCUCAGACUCUGACUGUUCAACCUCUGUUAAUGCAACUCCCAUCCCAAUUCGUAAACACCUUCUCAAUAAACACGCCAUCCAUAACAAAGUAGGCUCCUCAUAUCAUUACCAUCCUUCGAGACAGGAUGAGGAAGAUGAGGAAGCAUAUUCGGCUCAACAGCCCCUUCUCCUCCUUCCUCUCAAACCUUCUUCAAAAAAAGUGACCACGGAAGGAGGAGGAGCCUGUUUGCAGAGCAAGGAAAUACAAACGAGUUUCAACAAUACCCUCAACUCUGGGAGAAAAUUUGAACGUACUCGAGAUCCUAUAAUACAGAUUACUUCCGGAGCAUUAAAAGACUCUAAUUCUACGAAUGCAACGGCAACUAACCCCUCUCAAAACAUCUCAUGUCCCCACAAUAAACCCUCUUCGAAAAACAAUCAUAAUAACAACGCUCAAAGCUCAUACUGUGUCUGUGGAGCUUGUAUGGAAAAAAUUGAGGAUACUCCCGGAUCUGAGUUGAAUUGAAAUGUUUCACGUAAACCUCAGAAGCAUUUAUCAUCCCUAUCCUCUCUCCCUCUAUGGAUUCACACUUCGACAUCAUUUACUUCAAAUUUGGCCGGGAUUCUAAAUUUUGUUUUUCAGCAUUUUUUUUUAACCAUUCAACGGUCCUAAGGGCCGAUUAGUCGGUCCUUCAGUCCUACAGCCCUAGAUAUCUUUUCUUCACUCCUACCUAAGAUUAAAAACAUGGGAAUGAAGUUCAAGCCACACACCUCCUACUUCAAAAUUAAGGUAUCUUGUCUCUUGAAAGAAGUUAUGUUGAAUACCUGAAAGGAUAUAAUUAGUAACAUUUCAGUUGUUGUAUUUACGGGUAAAGAAUGCUGAGGACCCGUACUAUGACUGACACAUUUUAUUAGUA
rnacentral:misc_RNA from 1 species